UACAAAUGUUCUGUUAUUGAACAUAAACCCUCUGGUUACAAGGUGUGCUAUAAAGUUGGUUAACAUGAUAAUUGCAGUCAGGAAGAACUUAAGGCAGCUUUUGUAGGCUUGGCUAAGAAACAUCAUCCUGACAGUAAUCAAGAAGCUGAUUCAGCAAAAUUCCAACUGAUUGAAAAUGCAUACAGAAAGCUCCAAGAAAAAUUCAGCAAUGAGAUCAAGAGAUCAGAAUUAUUGACACACAAAGACAAAAAUAUUGUAAACAAAGACAUAACUCCAGAAGAAAGUGAACACAAUCUAGAACAUGAUAUUGAAGUAUUUAUGAAUCAUCAUACAGGAACCUCAAACCAUCCAACCAUCACACUAAAUUUUCUCUGUGCAUUCAUCUAUAGCAUACAGCCCCACAACACAGGCAAUUCCUUAAUUAUGAAGGCAUUGGGCAGGGUACACCUUUUCAAAGAGAGAAGCAAUACCAAAGACAUCAAGUUAAGAAAACAGUGGAGAAUGUGUAUAAUCAUCGUAUUUCCCAAAUUCCUAACACCGAAGAAAAUUCACUUAUUCGGAAAGAUAAUAUAGCAGCAAAGAAA